rnacentral:rRNA from 1 species
UACGAAGGGGGCUAGCGUUGCUCGGAAUCACUGGGCGUAAAGCGCACGUAGGCGGAUUGUUAAGUCAGGGGUGAAAUCCUGGAGCUCAACUCCAGAACUGCCUUUGAUACUGGCGAUCUUGAGUUCGGGAGAGGUGAGUGGAACUGCGAGUGUAGAGGUGAAAUUCGUAGAUAUUCGCAAGAACACCAGUGGCGAAGGCGGCUCACUGGCCCGGUACUGACGCUGAGGUGCGAAAGCGUGGGGAGCGAACAGG